ACCAUUGGGCGUAAAGCGUCUGUAGGUUGUUUAAUAAGUCUGUUGUUAAAGACUAGGGCUUAACCCUAGAGAAGCAAUGGAAACUACUAGACUUGAGUAUGGCAGGGGUAGAGGGAAUUUCUAGUGUAGCGGUGAAAUGCGUAGAUAUUAGAAAGAACACCGGUGGCGAAAGCGCUCUACCGGACCAUUACUGACACUCAGAGACGAAAGCUAGGGUAGCAAAAGGGAUUAGAUACCCCUGUAGUCCUAGCCGUAAACGAUGGAUACUAGAUGUUGUGUUUAAUAUGCAGUAUCGUAGCUAACGCGUUAAGUAUCCCGCCUGGGGAGUACGCUCGCAAGGGUGAAACUCAAAGGAAUUGACGGGGGCCCGCACAAGCGGUGGAGCAUGUGGUUUAAUUCGAUGCAACGCGAAGAACCUUACCAGGACUUGACAUACUGCAAAUUUCUUUGAAAAAAGGAAGUGCCUUCGGGAAUGUAGAUACAGGUGGUGCAUGGCUGUCGUCAGCUAGUGUCGUGAGAUGUUGGGUUAAGUCCCGCAACGAGCGCAACCCUUAUUUUUAGUUACUAAUUAAUUAGGUUUUCUAGAAAGACUGCCGGUGACAAACCGGAGGAAGGUGAGGAUGACGUCAAGUCAGCAUGCCCCUUAUGUCCUGGGCUACACACGUGCUACAAUGGUUAAAACAAAGGGUCGCGAGCUUGUGAGAGUCAGCUAAUCCCAUAAAUUUAGCCUAAGUUCAGAUCGUAGGCUGCAACU
rnacentral:rRNA from 1 species